CAUUUUUAGAUAUUAUUAAAAAUAAAUCCUGCUCAAUGAAUAUUUUCAAUAGCUGCAAUUUAUUGUACUAAGGUAGCAUAAUCAAUUGCCUUUUAAAUAAAGGAUAGAAUGAAAGGACAAACGAAUUUCAGACUUUCUUUAAAUUUCAAAACAAAAUUACAUAAUGAGUAAAAAUUCUCAUUCACUCAGAAAGACGACAAGACCCUAUUGAACUUCACACACGUUUAGCUGGGGAAGCAAUUUAACAAAAUCUUAAAAAUAAUCUUUUAAAAAAGAACCUUUUUGAUACUUGACCAAGUUACCAUAGGGAUAACAGCAUAAUAAAAUUUUAAAGCUCAUAUUUUAAAUUAAGUUUAUGACCUCGAUGUUGAAUAAUAAUCUAGUACAAUGCAAAAAUUUACUAAGAAAGACUGUUCGUCUUUUAAAUAAUUACA
rnacentral:rRNA from 1 species